ACAUAGUUCAAAUUGGAGGGAGCUUGGGCAGAUACCACCUUUUCUUUUAAGGAAUGAAUUUGACUUUUGCUGAUGGAGCCUCUCUGAAGGGCAAAUUCAAAGUACAGCUGGGUGCUGCAGCACUGGAGUGCGAACUUGUGGCUGUGGUUAUGAAGGAGCCUCGUCAGCUAUGCCUUUAGCCCCUGGUGAAGCAGUGCCAGUCACACUUUGCCAGUCAAACGGAGAGGCAGCAGUAGUAAGACCAGACCAAAUCAAACCAAACCAAGCAAACCACGGGGAAUGGAGGUCAUGUGAGCACACAGCAUAAAGGCAGCUGCCCACAAGCCAGGAAGAGAAGCAUCAUCAGAAACCGACCAUACUGGCUUCCUGAUCUCAGACUUUCAGCCUCCAGAAUGAGAUGGGGGUGUGAAA
rnacentral:lncRNA from 1 species